GCCGCCGCCACCACCUCCUCCUCCUAAUCCCCGUCACCGCCACCUCCUCCGCCGCCGCCUCAGCCCGCCUUCGUCCUGCUCCUCUGACUCCCAACUGCACGCUCCUUGCGCCCUGCGGUUGAGCCCUGCUUCUUCAACUACGGCUCUCCACAUCUCGCUCCCUGCUCCUCCGGCACCCGGCCAUGGGGUCUGCCAGGCAGUCAGGCACCAGAUCCGGGCAUCUGCGUUGUUUUCUCAUAAUGAUGCCAGUAGAGCAGCGCCUAUAGCCCCAGCUCUGAUGUAUCUAUCUUCUUUUUUCUGUCUUUUGCAAUCACCUUAGUCCUAUUGUGCUUCUCAGGAUUUGUCAUUAGCAUGGAACGUAGGUCGUGCUGUCGUGCAGAAGGCUAAAUUGGAGAGCCUUUAGAAGAAGCUAUCAUAUUGUGCAUCUUGAAGCCCCUAAAUUGGAGAGCAUGUCGAAGCAGAUGCUGCACAGACCAGUGGCGUGCAACAUGGUGAUGCGUGCGGAGAUGCAAUCGGUAGCAGAAAGAAAAGCUGCUUACUCAGCUGAUUGUGCGAAACCAGGCACAAAAGAGUUUGAAAACAGAAGGUUGACAAUCGCUUCAAUCGCUGACUGACUUCAUGGUGCAUGUAUUACCUAUUGAAAAAAAAGACAGGUCUGCAAUUAAAAGCUAAAAUGGAUGCAAAACAUGGGCUCAUGCUUGAAACAUGGAUUUGCUUGAAGCUACUUUUUUUUCAGAAUUGUGCGAUUUUGUGAGAUUAAUUAGUUAUACUGAUUUCAUGCUAAAUAGAAAGACUUUGAUGUUUUAUGCAUGUGAUGAGAUGUCUGUGGGCUGGUUUAUAUAUUGAUUUGGGCUGAGAUGCUAAUUGAUCUACUGCAAAAAUGGGCUGCUUUUAAAUGGGCUAGAUGUACAAUCAGUCAUGCAAUAUUUCAUGAGCAGAAACUCUUGGGCCAUAUGCAAAUGGGCCCAAAUUGACCCAA